UUUUUAUGGAGAGUUUGAUCCUGGCUCAGGAUGAACGCUGGCGGCGUGCCUAAUACAUGCAAGUCGAGCGAACAGACGAGGAGCUUGCUUCUCUGACGUUAGCGGCGGACGGGUGAGUAACACGUGGAUAACCUACCUAUAAGACUGGGAUAACUUCGGGAAACCGGAGCUAAUACCGGAUAAUAUAUUGAACCGCAUGGUUCAAUAGUGAAAGACGGUUUUUGCUGUCACUUAUAGAUGGAUCCGCGCCGCAUUAGCUAGUUGGUAAGGUAACGGCUUACCAAGGCAAC
rnacentral:rRNA from 1 species